rnacentral:rRNA from 1 species
UACGGAGGGUGCAAGCGUUGUUCGGAAUCACUGGGCGUAAAGCGUGCGUAGGCGGCUUGGUAAGUCGGAUGUGAAAGCCCCGGGCUCAACCCUGGAACUGCAUUCGAUACUGCCUGGCUUGAGUGUGGAAGAGGGAAGUGGAAUUCCUGGUGUAGCGGUGAAAUGCGUAGAUAUCAGGAGGAACACCUGUGGCGAAAGCGGCUUCCUGGUCCACAACUGACGCUGAGGCACGAAAGCGUGGGGAGCAAACAGG